CACAGUUUAGAGGUCUUAUGAAUUAAUCUCAUGUCAUUCCAAUCUCUGUCCAGCCCUACUAUUCCGACUCUAAUCUGGAUUUCCACAUUGUCUGCAAGUUUGUUUCUGGGCAGUCCUCUGGUUUCCAGAACUGAGGAAGCUUAAGUAUCAAUUUGGACUUGGUAGAGAAAGAGCAUUCACUGGUUAUGAAAUAACUGCAUAUUUGAUUCUCAAAACCACACAGAGGACCUGAGCCAGGUACAGUGUUUUAACAGCCUUGAAGAUGAUCAGCUAUGUGAGAGCAAAACUAAAAUUGAAGGGAAAGGAAUAAGUCAAGCACUAAGGUAGGAAGGGAUGUUUACCUUCACAAUGGAAUUGGUAUUGUCAACGAACAUUUGCCGCCUGCAUGAAUAUGCUUUCCGCUGUUUGUAUCCCUUCCAAAAAGCCUGUGGAAAAGAGCAAGUUAAAAAAUUCCUUUUGUGCAACAGUUUACUGCUUGAUAGAAAGCACAGGAACAGAGUAUGUCUCGGGAGGCACUGUGUUGGGCUACUGUCUGGGGCCCUCUCUUCCAAAUCCCCCGUGGACACCACUGCUGAUGGGUGGACAUGUACUGAGCAGAAUGCUCCAGCUCACAGCUGAGGCUUGUCUCAAACUUGGGGAAAGCACAGUUAGCAGGUAGAAGCUCAGUCUCCUGUUUGAAAGCUUAAUUUAUCAAGGCUCUGAGUGACAAAAAGUAAUA